rnacentral:rRNA from 1 species
AUACGGGGGGGGCGAGCGUUAUUCGGAAUUAUUGGGCGUAAAGGGCGCGUAGGCGGCCUGUCAAGUCAAAGGUGAAAUCCCUCGGCUCAACCGAGGAACUGCCUUUGAUACUGUCAGGCUUGAGGCCGGGAGGGGGUGGCGGAAUUCCCAGUGUAGCGGUGAAAUGCGUAGAUAUUGGGAGGAACACCGGUGGCGAAGGCGGCCACCUGGACUGAGACUGACGCUGAGGUGCGAAAGCGUGGGGAGCAAACAGGAUUAGAAACCCUAGUAGUCC